AAUUUUAACGACAAGAAUGAGUUUUACUAUAUGACUAUACAUUAAUUAUUAGUCUGUACUGUAAUAUUGUAAAUUUUAUAAAUGGUUGAUUUUGGAAAUGAUUUCUUCCUCAAGAAAAUUGACGGAUUGUAAUGACCGCGCAGCCGCAGCGGUCGAAACGCUCUGCGAACCACCUACUGCUCAAUAUAAAUGGAUCCAACACUAUGCUGACCCACAACGCCCCGAGCUGCUCCCACAGUUGCCUGCAUUUCUCAGUCAUGGGGGUGUUCUGGUUCCGCCAGAGUAGCAACCGAGGGUCCGAGAGGAACUGCUCGGUCAUGAGCAUCAGCAUUCUUGGACCGUUGGAGUCUUGGGCUCGGAGCAUUUCUCUAACCUGGAAAAAUGAUGAGUCGACUUUUGAAAUUCGAUAAUGUAUAAUGUUACUGGCUGAAUAUAUUAACAAAAAAGAAAAAGAAAUGUUACUGUUGAUGUAUAAAAAUCGCAGAUCUGGAGCACCUGAAGAAGAGUCACAAUGGUUCAGGAACUAUAGGAAAUAUAUAUUUCAGUCGUAUGAGCAUCUUCUGUAUAGAAUUUUUCACGUCGCUUCAGUUUCCAUGACAAUGUAUAUAUGAUAAGUAUGACCUGAUGAAACACCCAGGUUUAGCUUGAACGGGAAACUUCUCAACGGUUACGGACAUGAUAUUUUGACUUGUUGAAUGGCGCCGCGCGCUCUUUCUGAUUGCGAUCCUAUCCUGGUUCAAUUGUUUAUAUUAUCUCCAAGAUCGAAGGGUCUCUACUUUACCUGCU